rnacentral:lncRNA from 1 species
UAAUCUCUCUCUUUAGCUACUUGGUGAUGUUGCGAAUCAGAGCUAGUCCGUGUUUACAUUUCACCGGGUAGAUUAGAAGAAGUUGAGGUAUACCGAUACCACCGGACGAAGAAGUCGAGUCUAUCGCGCGUAGUUUAAAAAUACAAAUAUUUUAAGAUUUGGUGGAUUAAAGAAAUCUUUGGAUGCAGGAAACUAAUUUGUUCGAUGUCAUACAAGGAAUUUUUCUU